rnacentral:ribozyme from 1 species
GCCAAAUGUUGGUUCAACAAAGAGUCUAUCUGGUCAUGCUCUUGGAGCUGCUGGUGUUCACGAGGCAAUUUACACGAUUCUUAUGAUGAACAACGACUUCAUGGCGGAAAGUGCAAAUAUAAACGAUCUUGUUGAUGAAGCAGAGGGAAUGAAUAUUCUUACGGAACGUAAGGAUGGUUCAUUCAAACGGGCUAUGUCAAACAGUUUCGGAUUUGGUGGUACCAACUGUGCUCUUGUGUUUGACAAGUAUGAAGAGUAGGAGUAAGUAAGGAAAGAUAUAUCAAUCAUAUGCUAAUAU